rnacentral:rRNA from 1 species
AACGUAGGAGGCGAGCGUUAUCCGGAUUUACUGGGCGUAAAGCGCACGCAGGCGGUUUCGUAAGUCGGGUGUGAAAGCUCCUAGCUUAACUGGGAGAGGCCAUUCGAUACUGCGAGACUUGAGGUUGGGAGAGGGGUGUGGAAUUCCCGGUGUAGUGGUGGAAUGCGUAGAUAUCGGGAGGAACACCUGUGGCGAAAGCGGCACCCUGGCCCACACCUGACGCUGAGGUGCGAAAGCGUGGGGAGUAAACAGG